ACAAUUAUCGCUGUCUCGAUGUGAUUUGUCGGGAGUAUAUUGAGUUUCGCGUUAAACACUCGAUAGCUAAUUUGCUAACAUUCUCCCGUCCAUCACAAGUUGUACGUAGUGUUUUUAUUUUUGUAUUUAAAUAUUUGUUUAACCUGCACAGGUGCAUCAGACAAUACUUUUGCGAGGACAGGAUCUUCUGCUGUCUAUAUCACUGUCUGUGCCUACUGUUAAUAACCAUUUACACAAGCUCUAAAAUCAUGCAGUUCAACAAAAAGAUUUUAUCAUCAUCAAGCAUGGUCUCAAGUGCAGGCAAUCCCCACACUUUCACUGCUGUUACUGUACAUCAACAGUAAUCAGAUGUGAUUGUUUUAUUACACAUUUUAAAAUGUGUAAAAAUCCAGCCUCUGAACAACCUCCCAUUGGCUGCAGCACCACCUUCGUCUCCAGCAUCAGCAUCCCCACCUUCAUUUCGCCCGGACAUUGGAACAUGUCUGUACUGAUUUUGAGAUACAGCUUUUUAACUUCUUGCUUGUAAACUUUUUUUAUAUCUUUAGUGGAGUAUUAAGAAAGAACAAAGUACACAGUUGUCACAAAUAACCUACUGAGGGUCACUUAAGUAAACCAAGUGCACAUUUUUAACAAAACUAUAAACAAACAGAAAGACUUAACUUAAAAAAAGCAAUCCCUAGAUGUGACCGCUAUAUACUGUAUUAAUUGUAUAUCUAAUUGUAUUGUCUAUAAUUAACAGGGUGCCCCUCUACAGCUUGGAGGAAUUGAUUGUGGGGUAUUUAUGUUGAUGUCAAGUCCCACAACUACUCACCCAGGAAGUAACAUAUGCAGAUAACAUGAAAUUCACUCCACCCGAGUCAGGUGUCAUGGAGAUCACCCAGACAACAGAAGUAGAUCACACAGGACUCAGCGGUGAUGAGAAACAUUCAGCUGACCUGUGAGUGGGUAAAGGAGACCACUUGCUGGGAAGAUGAGCUACAAAAGAUCUAAAGGAUGAUGCCCUGUUGUCUAUAACAAUGUGGGACUUGUUUAUAAACACCAUGAUUUAUGAGGGUGAAAGGAAUGAAGAAGAAAUUUUGACUCCCUUCCCUUUUAUAUUUUAGAGAAGAGCAGGGGCCUCAUUUAUAAAAUGCUGCGUAAAAACCAUCCUAAAUUUGAUCUGGCGAUCAUUUAACAAAAAUGCGUACGUGUGAUUCAUAAACCGAACGUACGCGCAGAAAACGCGCGUACCCCUUUCAAAUCUAUAAAUCAGAAAUGAACUUGAACUUGUGCGCGCAGCCGAGCAGUUUCAGAUCUCCGCCUUUAAACGAUGCGUAAUUAAUGUCAGACAUAUAAAAAGCGCUUGUCAAUGUUUAAACCCAAUUUCAAACAGCAAGAAUGGCUUAUAUUUCCAAAAACCUGCAGCAAUCAGACAAGCAAAAGUGCGUACAUCUGCUCAGACCCUGACGUGGCGCUAAGCACUUUUCCACGUCAAAGACGGUUUUUAUAAAUAUGGACUUUGCUGUGGAUUUUCGCCUACGCACACUUUACGAUCAAAUCUGUGCGUACGCAGGCUUUAUAAAUGAGGCCCCAGGAGAUAUAUGAGACAAAAGAGUUAUUUGUGGGUUUUGUUUACACAAACAAACCCUGUCUUGUGAAUCUACUAGUGGGGAUAGACUAAUUUAAAUAUAGAUUUUUUUGAUUGUUUUUGUAAAAUACCAUUUCACGAGUUCGCAUUAACAUGUAAUCGAUAGGGAAUGAGAUUAAGCAUAUUUGGCGUGCUGUCCGAGGAGAGCGCUCCGAGCUCGGAAUUUUAGCCCAAACCCAGAGUACUCCCCUCUCUUUAACUGUGAUGAAUUAAUCUAGAUGAGAGUGAGGUGAUGGGGUGGAGGAGGGAUUCUGCAAAAAAUCUGUCACGGGACAGAGGUGAGGGACUGCCAUUUAUAGGCACCUCUUUGCACUGAUUGGUUGGAUCACAUGACCAUGCUCCUCCCGAACUUAGUUAAAUAAACUUCAUUAAACGUUUGUGUGAACUGUAAAGUGAUGUGUUCUUGAAAUAAAUAUAUAAUAUUUAUUAUUGUAUCUUAUUAUACCAUUAAAGUGUCGUGUUCUUGAAAUAUUCAUGAUAUUAUUUAAAAUCUUCUUAUCAUAACAUCUUGAUUUCUUUUAUGUUAGAUGCACAUUUUGCUAAAUUUGGGUUAAUAGAAACCAAUAAAUCCACUUGUAGGACACUGGAGUAUAACACUUGUAGGACACCUGGGUAUGUGACUAUUAAAUAACAUAAUUUAUAUUCUACAAAAAUGUAAAUUAAAGGGAAUGCCUCAAUAAUCUCAAAGCACAUCGUAUAUCCUCUACUAUGGGAAGUCACAUGGUUGAUUUUAGACUACUUGUCUGCUUAUUCAUAAAAUAUAGUAUACUGCAUAGCCUAUCACAUAAAUGUCGAAUCUAUCCAAAGUUACAGUCAAUAU